rnacentral:lncRNA from 10 species
GUUCCGCGGGGAGAGGGAAGGCGAAGGCGGGCUGAGCCCGGCGCCGGGAGGAGUGGUCUAAACUCCACCGCGGCUUUCGCAUCGGAGACGUGUCUUUAGGAAGCAGAGAGGGUUCGAUUCUGGACUCCGCCCAUGACUCACUUCUCUUGUAAAGAAAGAGUUGUCCUUCCUGGUACUCCAGGUUUAUGGGAUGCAGGAUAAUGGAGCAUGCUCUAUCUGGGACAUUGCUAGUCUUAUGACAGAGGGAGAAGACAGCGAUGAGUUUUCGAAGAACUCCAGGAAGUGGCUGCAGAGCAAAGUAGGAUCCUGAUACUGAGCUCAAGUGAUUCAGAAUGAAAAGACCUUGGCACAGACCUGUUAAGGAAGCUCCAUAUAAGGUGAAGAAAACAACAUGCUCAGCCAUGUCCUUGCCUUCUGCACACGGUAGUGCAUUCACUGCCUGAGAAUUCAAGGCUAAAACAAAAAGAGGAGCUUUUGUUCCAACAGAUAAGUACUUACCUUUUUCAAAAAAUGCAUAAGCUGUCCUGGGUGUU